rnacentral:rRNA from 1 species
UACGGAGGGUGCAAGCGUUAUCCGGAUUCACUGGGUUUAAAGGGUGCGUAGGCGGGUAUAUAAGUCAGUGGUGAAAGCUCCGAGCUUAACUUGGAAACUGCCAUUGAUACUGUAUAUCUUGAAUGUCGUUGAGGUUAGCGGAAUGUUGCAUGUAGCGGUGAAAUGCUUAGAGAUCCGGAAGAACACCGGUGGCGAAGGCGGCCUGCUGGGUUCUGGCUGACACUGAGGCGCGACAGCGUGGGGAGCAAACAGG